rnacentral:rRNA from 1 species
CCUACGGGUGGCAGCAGUGAGGAAUAUUGGUCAAUGGGCGAGAGCCUGAACCAGCCAAGUAGCGUGAAGGAUGACGGCCCUACGGGUUUUAAACUUCUUUUAUAAGGGAAUAAAGUGAGGCACGUGUGCCGUUUUGUAUGUACUUUAUGAAUAAGGAUCGGCUAAGUCCGUGCCAGCAGCCGCGGUAAUACGGAGGAUCCGAGCGUUAUCCGGAUUUAUUGGGUUUAAAGGGAGCGUAGAUGGGUUGUUAAGUCAGUUGUGAAAGUUUGCGGCUCAACCGUAAAACUGCAAUUGAUACUGGCAGUCUGGAGUACAGUUGAGGUAGGCGGAAUUCGUGGUGUAGCGGUGAAAUGCUUAGAUAUCACGAAGAACUCCGAUUGCGAAGGCAGCUUACUAACCUGCCACUGACAGUGAUGCGCGAAAGUGUGGGUAUCAAACAGGAUUAGAUACCCGAGUAGUC